UAUCUAAUCUAAUACUAUUCUUCUAAUAGAGAAUUUUCAAGUUAGUGAAAUUUCAGCGUGUCAAGCUUCUCAGAUGGAGUGUUACUGUUUAUGACAUGUAUAUCCAUAUACCAUCAUCAUACUACUUACAAGUUACAACACGGUCUCUUCCAAUGAUAUUAUGCUAUAUGUGAUGUUCUUUCUAAUUUCUAUCAUGCAGGCAUUCAUACACACACCAUGCUAAAUUCAAAUUUUAAAUUUAUUCUCUUUUCACUCCUUCAGUUCUUCAUUUCAUCUAAUCAUCUUCUUUGUUUUUAACCUAUUUUCUAAUUUUUUCACCUUAUAUCAAUUUCAUUAAUCUUUCUUUUUAUUCAAAUUUUAAUGAUAUAUUCCCCUUUACUCAUUAAACUAGAAGUAAAACACACACAGAGAGGUUUACUUAUUUUUCAAAUUUUAAAUUCUUAGAUAAAUACAUCAUAUGCAUUACCUUACCCCCUUUAAUUUAUAACCCGUGGAGAUGGGUCUCUUCCACCCACUAUCCAGGCUUCAGAUGAGGACAAAAAUAGUGUUGCGGUGUCGUUAUGUGAGACUGCCGAGAUGAUCAAUAGUGAUGAUUAUGAGAUUCGGCAGCAAACCGACGGUGAUGGCAGUUGGCAGUUCCUAGAAGAGGCUUGGCGGUGGUGGUUGCAAUGUUCGUGGUGGAAUGUGGUGGUGGUAGGCACAGAGGAGGAAGAAGAGAGUAGAUCCGAGAAAGAACUGAGCGGCAGGCAUAGAGCACAUGCAGCGAGACUUGGCUUCAUCUAUGCAGUCUAGCAUCUGGAUCUAGGAUGGAACAAGAAGAUGGUCAAGCAUGCAGAAGGGAAAAGGAGAAUCUUGAAGCAUAUGGCUACAAGGCUAGAACUGCAGAUCAUAAUAAAACCGUUGUUCGAUCUGUAAGCGGCGAUAAGAACGCGGCAUCAACGUGGUGCCGCACCUAGGAAUCAAGAACGUGGUGCCGAUUUGGUCAUCACAUGGAGUCCACUAAACAUUGCUAUGGUGGUGAACGAGGCUAUGGCAGUGGUGGUGGCAGUGGAGUUCGUGGUGGUGGAUAUGGUGAUGGAUAUGCAGUAGAGUUCAAGAACAUAGCAGUGAGAUCUCACAUUCUUCUUCAUGCUUUAUUUCAUCCCUUUCCGAUUAUUCAACCGUGGAUUUCGUGAUCUUCAGCAGCUUUACGUGAUCUUAUUUGUGAAGCACACUCCGCUACCUUCGCAACGCAGAACCGUUCCUCUCCCCUCAAGGAUAUUAUGCUAUACAGUAUUUAGAACCAAACCUUGAGUUUCAAUUUUAAUUCCGCAUAAGGCUCAACCACAGAAGAAACAAAUUGGUACGUAUAUACUAACUCCUCUUCUUUGAAUUUUUCUUUUAAGUUGGUGAUAUUUAAUGGAAUAUACUUCGAGCUUUAUUUAUUGUUUUUAUUCUUUACUAGAGAGUUUUGAUUCCCUCAGCUUUCUCUUUGAAAUUUUCACACCCGAAAGGUAUAUGUUAUAAUAGGUGUGGAUUUGGUUCAGUAUAAUUCGGUCUCAAUGCAAAAAUCCUCGAACAACAAUUCUCUAUUUUUUUGCUUCCUUUGAUUAUUCAACUCUUUGAUCCACUCUUCCCAAAUAAUGUUCAAAUUGUAUUCUUUCACGUGUUUAUUGUUAAAACAAGGUGAAAUUUUAUUUCGAUUUUGUUUAGAAUAAUCAAGAAUGCAGGAUCGAAGGACUAGAACACGAUACCAUUGCUCUUGGUUCUGGAUUCUUAAUGCACCAAUUAAAUCCAAUGAAAAGCUCUUCCUAUUUUCGAUUCCAUGUUGGAAAAAUUGGUGGUGCUAGGUGGAAGUCUAUGUCCAAUGCUGUGAAAAAAGCAAACUUGUUCUCUAAUUCUCUUUUAUUAUUCUUUUCUCUUCGAUUAACAAUUAUUUCCGCUACGAUUUAGUCUAUAAUUCAUUAUAUUAUCAUAUUUCAGGAAAAAAACUCCAUAAGCUAAGGCAAAUGCUAAGAACAGACUAGCAUAUGAGGAGGAUAUCGGAGCCUACAACAAAAAAUUCAUAAUUGCUUUAACUCAAUGUUUUGAUUCUCUCUUAUAUUAUGAUUCAUACUAAUCCUAUGGUUGAACUCUUUUAAUGUUUUAGAAUGUGGGUGGAGAUUUUAAUAAGUCAAAAUCUGUUGUGGUGAAGGAAGAGACCUUGGAGUGGGAGGAAAUAAUUUCAUUCAUUAUCAAUUCUCAUAUAGUUUUGGGAGUUGAUUGACAAUAUAAUUUAAUCAUCUUAAUUUUUUGCUUACUUUUAUGUAUGAAGAUCAUGAGAUUUGAGGUUCAGUAAGAUUCUGUAAUUGUAUGUUUGAUUCAUCGAAAGGAAUA